UCAGGGCCUGGAGGGGAAGUCAGGGCCGGGAGGGGGAGUCAGAGCUGGAAGGGCCCCUGGAGGGCAAGUCAGGGCCUGGAGGGGGAGGGAGUCAGGGCCGGGGAAAGCAGUAAUGGACGCCACCAUCCAGGCUCCCAAGGGCUUCAGUCUCUUGCCCAAGACUUCCUCCCCCUCAGCAUCAGAAUUCAGGUUCCUCCCGACAAGGCCACCGGGGCCACACAGACCGCCCGGGGGGGAAGGGACCCCACUUGCUCCAAGUGUUGCCUCCUCCCGGCCUCUUGGUUCUUCUCUGCAGGACGCUGUCCAGGGUCUUUAGGGUCUUGCCGGGUUCUAAAGCUUGGGAUUCUUUGGCUCCUUCAGGCAUUCUGUGAUCUUGGAAUGGAGCGAAGCAGGCCAGAAAUCACAAGGGAAGCGGGGAGAAGCAGGCAGCAGGACUCGGUUUCCAGGCCGGAAUCAGGAGCCCCUCAACGGCAGGACCUCCAGCCCCUCCGGGCUCACUCGGACCCCCGUCCUGGACAAAAUCCCCAACAGAGACACAGUCUCUGUUACAGGCCCAGGGAAGGGGAGCCGCGGAGGGUGUGCAGCGGGGUUCUGGAGCUUGGACCACAGGCUUGCCCGGCAGACUGCCCAAGGACCCCGGUGCCAAACAGACUGGCCUCCCUUGGCGAGUCCCCGGCCUUGGGGCGGCCUCCACCCGUGCGCUGAGCUGAGUUAGCCUUGGGGUACCCAGGCCUGGGGCAGAGGACUGGCUCCCGUUGGGAAGAUGCGGGUUCAGGUGCCCCAGGUGCCCCGAGCGAGACCUGACGGGCCCGGUCUGCUUCAGCAGAGACUCUGUGCUCUUUGGGAGGACCCAGGGCUGAAGCCCCUGGUGCCGGCAGAGGUGCCCACCACGCCAGGAGCCGGGGCCGAGCUGGCACGUUCUCACCGACGCCAGAGUUCAGAUGGAAAUUCGUGGAGAGACAACUCAGACGAAAAUAGCCUUUUCUGGGCGGACCCUCCCCAGGAGAGUUGUCCGCUGGCGUCUGCCCCCUUCCGUAUCCCUUCUUGACUAGCUGGGGAAACCAUCAAAACGCUGAGAUCCCUGGGCCCAUUUCACUCUAAAUAAAACAAGCUCCGUGCCAAAUAA